rnacentral:rRNA from 1 species
AUUGAACGCUGGCGGCAUGCUUUACACAUGCAAGUCGAACGGCAGCGCGGGGCAACCUGGCGGCGAGUGGCGAACGGGUGAGUAAUAUAUCGGAACGUACCCAGAAGUGGGGGAUAACGUAGCGAAAGUUACGCUAAUACCGCAUACGAUCUACGGAUGAAAGUAGGGGACCGCAAGGCCUUAUGCUUUUGGAGCGGCCGAUAUCUGAUUAGCUAGUUGGUGAGGUAAAGGCUCACCAAGGCGACGAUCAGUAGCUGGUUUGAGAGGCGGACCAGCCACACUGGAACGGAGAACCGGCCCAACCCCCUACGGGGGGCGGCAGGGGGGAUUUUUGGAAAAUGGGCGAAAGCCUGACCCAGAAAUGCCGGGGGAGUGAAGAAGGCUUUCGGUUUUAAAAGCCUUUUUUUCAGGAAAAAAACGGUAGGGGCUAAUAUCCUUUGCUAAUGACGGUCCCUAAAAAAUAAGCCCCGGCUAACUCCGU